rnacentral:piRNA from 1 species
UAGGAAGGGUUUUAAGGUAGCUGAG